rnacentral:rRNA from 1 species
GGUUAAGUGACUAAGCGUACACGGUGGAUGCCCUGGCAGUCAGAGGCGAUGAAGGACGUGCUAAUCUGCGAAAAGCGUCGGUAAGGUGAUAUGAACCGUUAUAACCGGCGAUGUCCGAAUGGGGAAACCCAGUGUGAUUCGUCACACUAUCGUUAACUGAAUACAUAGGUUAACGAGGCGAACCGGGGGAACUGAAACAUCUAAGUACCCCGAGGAAAAGAAAUCAACCGAGAUUCCCCCAGUAGCGGCGAGCGAACGGGGAGCAGCCCAGAGUCUGAAUCAGCUUGUGUGUUAGUGGAACGGUCUGGAAAGUCCGACGGUACAGGGUGAUAGUCCCGUACACCAAAAUGCACAGGCUGUGAACUCGAAGAGUAGGGCGGGACACGUGGUAUCCUGUCUGAAUAUGGGGGGACCAUCCUCCAAGGCUAAAUACUCCUGACUGACCGAUAGUGAACCAGUACCGUGAGGGAAAGGCGAAAAGAACCCCGGCGAGGGGAGUGAAAAAGAACCUGAAACCGUGUACGUACAAGCAGUGGGAGCACCUUCGGGUGUGACUGCGUACCUUUUGUAUAAUGGGUCAGCGACUUAUAUUCUGUAGCAAGGUUAACCGUAUAGGGGAGCCGCAGGGAAACCGAGUCUUAACUGGGCGUUAAGUUGCAGGGUAUAGACCCGAAACCCGGUGAUCUAGCCAUGGGCAGGUUGAAGGUUGGGUAACACUAACUGGAGGACCGAACCGACUAAUGUUGAAAAAUUAGCGGAUGACUUGUGGCUGGGGGUGAAAGGCCAAUCAAACCGGGAGAUAGCUGGUUCUCCCCGAAAGCUAUUUAGGUAGCGCCUCGUGAACUCAUCUUCGGGGGUAGAGCACUGUUUCGGCUAGGGGGUCAUCCCGACUUACCAACCCGAUGCAAACUACGAAUACCGAAGAAUGUUAUCACGGGAGACACACGGCGGGUGCUAACGUCCGUCGUGAAGAGGGAAACAACCCAGACCGCCAGCUAAGGUCCCAAAGUCAUGGUUAAGUGGGAAACGAUGUGGGAAGGCACAGACAGCCAGGAUGUUGGCUUAGAAGCAGCCAUCAUUUAAAGAAAGCGUAAUAGCUCACUGGUCGAGUCGGCCUGCGCGGAAGAUGUAACGGGGCUAAACCAUGCACCGAAGCUGCGGCAGCGACACUAUGUGUUGUUGGGUAGGGGAGCGUUCUGUAAGCCUGCGAAGGUGUGCUGUGAGGCAUGCUGGAGGUAUCAGAAGUGCGAAUGCUGACAUAAGUAACGAUAAAGCGGGUGAAAAGCCCGCUCGCCGGAAGACCAAGGGUUCCUGUCCAACGUUAAUCGGGGCAGGGUGAGUCGACCCCUAAGGCGAGGCCGAAAGGCGUAGUCGAUGGGAAACAGGUUAAUAUUCCUGUACUUGGUGUUACUGCGAAGGGGGGACGGAGAAGGCUAUGUUAGCCGGGCGACGGUUGUCCCGGUUUAAGCAUGUAGGCUGAUUGUCCAGGCAAAUCCGGAUAAUCAAGGCUGAGGUGUGAUGACGAGGCACUACGGUGCUGAAGUAACAAAUGCCCUGCUUCCAGGAAAAGCCUCUAAGCAUCAGGUAACAUUAAAUCGUACCCCAAACCGACACAGGUGGUCAGGUAGAGAAUACCAAGGCGCUUGAGAGAACUCGGGUGAAGGAACUAGGCAAAAUGGUGCCGUAACUUCGGGAGAAGGCACGCUGGUGUGUAGGUGAAGUCCCUGCGGAUGGAGCUGAGACCAGUCGAAGAUACCAGCUGGCUGCAACUGUUUAUUAAAAACACAGCACUGUGCAAACACGAAAGUGGACGUAUACGGUGUGACGCCUGCCCGGUGCCGGAAGGUUAAUUGAUGGGGUUAUCCGUAAGGAGAAGCUCUUGAUCGAAGCCCCGGUAAACGGCGGCCGUAACUAUAACGGUCCUAAGGUAGCGAAAUUCCUUGUCGGGUAAGUUCCGACCUGCACGAAUGGCGUAAUGAUGGCCAGGCUGUCUCCACCCGAGACUCAGUGAAAUUGAACUCGCUGUGAAGAUGCAGUGUACCCGCGGCAAGACGGAAAGACCCCGUGAACCUUUACUAUAGCUUGACACUGAACAUUGAGCCUUGAUGUGUAGGAUAGGUGGGAGGCUUUGAAGCGUGGACGCCAGUCUGCGUGGAGCCAACCUUGAAAUACCACCCUUUAAUGUUUGAUGUUCUAACGUUGGCCCCUUACCGGGGUUGCGGACAGUGUCUGGUGGGUAGUUUGACUGGGGCGGUCUCCUCCCAAAGCGUAACGGAGGAGCACGAAGGUUAGCUAAUCCUGGUCGGACAUCAGGAGGUUAGUGCAAUGGCAUAAGCUAGCUUGACUGCGAGCGUGACGGCGCGAGCAGGUGCGAAAGCAGGUCAUAGUGAUCCGGUGGUUCUGAAUGGAAGGGCCAUCGCUCAACGGAUAAAAGGUACUCCGGGGAUAACAGGCUGAUACCGCCCAAGAGUUCAUAUCGACGGCGGUGUUUGGCACCUCGAUGUCGGCUCAUCACAUCCUGGGGCUGAAGUAGGUCCCAAGGGUAUGGCUGUUCGCCAUUUAAAGUGGUACGCGAGCUGGGUUUAGAACGUCGUGAGACAGUUCGGUCCCUAUCUGCCGUGGGCGCUGGAGAAUUGAGGGGGGCUGCUCCUAGUACGAGAGGACCGGAGUGGACGCAUCACUGGUGUUCGGGUUGUCAUGCCAAUGGCACUGCCCGGUAGCUAAAUGCGGAAGAGAUAAGUGCUGAAAGCAUCUAAGCACGAAACUUGCCCCGAGAUGAGUUCUCCCUGAGACUUUAAGUCUCCUGAAGGAACGUUGAAGACGACGACGUUGAUAGGCCGGGUGUGUAAGCGCAGCGAUGCGUUGAGCUAACCGGUACUAAUGAACCGUGAGGCUUAACCUU